GAGGGUAUAGCUCAAGUGUUAGAGUGCCUGCUUAGCAAGCAUGAGGUCCUGGGUUCAAUCCCCAGUACCUCCU
rfam:Camelus ferus unplaced genomic scaffold scaffold187, whole genome shotgun sequence.